CUGUAAAGUGGGAUGAUCUUCCGCCACUCAGGCCAGGUGGUGGUUAGGAUUAAACCCUGAAGUCGACCUGAGCAGCUUAGCCUGGCGCCUGACCCAGAGCGGGCGCUCCACGCCCGCUGAUAUUAUUACUAAUUGUUUUCGGGAGAGGCAGAUUUGGGGCGUAGAGGGUGGGUGGGUUGAGGAGGGCAUUUUGGCCUGGGGGCGGAUGGGGCCCGCGGGGUGGGGCGCCCUGGGGGAGUGGGAGGCGGGGCUUCUGUGCCCGGUGUCCCCACCCCGCCCGGACCCCGGCUCGGGCCGUGCCUGGGUCUCUCCCGGGUCACCGGCGGGGAAUCCGUCCCCGCGCGCUUCCUCCUUCCUCCUCCUCCCGGCUGCCUGCCGGGCCCCUCCUCCCAGCUCGCGCGCUCCCUCCCUCCUCUUCCCUCCCCUCCCCGGGCCGCCGCCGCCUCCUCCUCCUCCUCCUCCCUUUCUCUCUCGAUCUGUCUCUCCCGGCCCGGAAUCCAUUCCGGCCUGGGAGCCGGAGCGGCCAGGCCGCCGUCUGCCCUACCCGCUGGCCGUCCCGCGGUCCGCCCUCCUGUGCGUCCGUCUGCCGGUGCGCCCGCCCGCCCGCCGGCCCAGCACCUGUGUCCUUCAGGUGGACUUAGGAGUGGACAGAGCCUGUGUGUGCCCCUGGGCAAGGCCUCCUGAACUUCAUGGACUCUGUACAAUUUGGGGCAGUGGUUGCUGGGUCACCUGGGUUCCUCACUGGGCAGCGUGAAGACCAGGAGACUUCUCCUCUACCCCCAACUGCGGUCACCCACUAGCUGCGUGGCUUUGGUGAGUCAGUUUAACUGCUCUGUGCCUCAGUUUCCCCAUCUGAAAAAUGAGCCUAGUGGUAGAACCCACCCCAUGGGCUUGUUCCAA
rnacentral:lncRNA from 1 species